GGAAACCCUGAUGCAGCAACGCCGCGUGAGGUAUGAAGGCCUUUGGGUUGUAAGCCUCUGUCCUAGGGGAAGAAAAGAAUGACGGUACCCGAGGAGGAAGCCCCGGCUAACUACGUGCCAGCAGCCGCGGUAAUACGUAGGGGGCAAGCGUUAUCCGGAAUUAUUGGGCGUAAAGAGUGCGUAGGUGGUCUACUAAGCGCGAGGUGAAAGGCAAUGGCUCAACCAUUGUUAGCCUUGCGAACUGGCAGACUUGAGUGCAAGAGAGGAAAGCGGAAUUCCUAGUGUAGCGGUGAAAUGCGCAGAUAUUAGGAGGAACACCGGCGGCGAAGGCGGCUUUCUGGAUUGUAACUGACACUGAGGCACGAAAGCGUGGGUAGCAAACAGGAUUAGAUACCCUGGUAGUCCACGCCGUAAACGAUGAGCACUAGGUGUCGGGACAUGAGUCUCGGUGCCGCAGUUAACGCAAUAAGUGCUCCGCCUGGGGAGUACGCACGCAGUGUAAACUCAAGGA
rnacentral:rRNA from 1 species